GCAACAGAUCCUGUAAUCAUUGCUCUGGGAGUGACCUCGGCCGUCUGUCUGAUUGGGAUCAUUAUCCUCAUCUGCACCAGACAUACUAGACCAGUUUGUGAACAUUGUAAAGUGGGUGCUUCUCAGCAUAUCGGACAUGACAACUACACUAGAGAAUCAAGCAGCAAGGAUCAAAAUGCAGAUACUCUGAAUUAUGCUGCAUUGAAUUUCUCUGAGAGGAAAACUAAAAGAGGAAGAAAGAAGAGAGAGACACCACAGGAGAGUGUGUAUUCUGAUGUCAGGUACUCAGACUGGGAGUGAACUACAGUACAGAGGAAUACAUUUUGGUCAAAAAUAGAUUUUUUUAAUUGCUAUUAUAUACUUUAAUUGUCAAGACAAAAAAGCAACACUCUUUUUGUAUCAUAGGGCAUCAGGGUUUUUCUCAUCUCUGCAACCCAGAAGCAAAUCUAAUUUCUAGACUAAUGUGAGUAGCAGAACCAAGAACAAAUCCUCUUUCCUGUAUUUUAUUGUUCAUGUUUUCACAUAAUUCAAGAAUUGAUCCCAAUUGUUGUUGUAAUGUUAAAUGAACCUUG